GGUCCCCCCGCGACGAGUCGCUGUGAACCCCGUCAGGCCCGGAAGGGAGCAGCGGCAGCAGCGAUCCUCGGGCGCCGGGGUGUGGCU
rnacentral:SRP_RNA from 14 species